ACGUACACUCCUGCGGGAGGCAGCAGUGGGGGAUAUUGGACAAUGGGCGCAAGCCUGAUCCAGCCAUGCCGCGUGAGUGAUGAAGGCCCUAGGGUUGUAAAGCUCUUUCACCGGAGAAGAUAAUGACGGUAUCCGGAGAAGAAGCCCCGGCUAACUUCGUGCCAGCAGCCGCGGUAAUACGAAGGGGGCUAGCGUUGUUCGGAAUUACUGGGCGUAAAGCGCACGUAGGCGGAUCGAUCAGUCAGGGGUGAAAUCCCAGGGCUCAACCCUGGAACUGCCUUUGAUACUGUCGAUCUGGAGUAUGGAAGAGGUGAGUGGAAUUCCGAGUGUAGAGGUGAAAUUCGUAGAUAUUCGGAGGAACACCAGUGGCGAAGGCGGCUCACUGGUCCAUUACUGACGCUGAGGUGCGAAAGCGUGGGGAGCAAACAGGAUUAGAUACCCGUGUAGUCCC
rnacentral:rRNA from 1 species